CCUACGGGUGGCAGCAGUGAGGAAUAUUGGUCAAUGGGCGGAAGCCUGAACCAGCCAAGUCGCGUGAGGGAUUAAGGCCCUGCGGGUCGUAAACCUCUUUUGCCGGGGAGCAGAGGUCCGGACGUGUCCGGGCCGGGAGAGUACCCGGAGAAAAAGCAUCGGCUAACUCCGUGCCAGCAGCCGCGGUAAUACGGAGGAUGCGAGCGUUAUACGGAUUCACUGGGUGUAAAGGGAGCGUAGACGGGCAUGCAAGCCAGGGGUGAAAGCCCGGGGCCCAACCCCGGGACUGCCCUUGGAACUGCAUGGCGGGAGUGCGGGAGGGGCAGGCGGAAUUCCUGGUGUAGCGGUGAAAUGCGUAGAUAUCAGGAGGAACACCGGCGGCGAAGGCGGCCUGCUGGACCGCGACUGACGUUGAGGCUCGAAAGCGUGGGGAGCGAACAGGAUUAGAUACCCCAGUAGUC
rnacentral:rRNA from 1 species